CCUACGGGGGGCAGCAGUGGGGAAUAUUGGACAAUGGGGGCAACCCUGAUCCAGCCAUGCCGCGUGUGUGAAGAAGGCCCUCGGGUUGUAAAGCACUUUCAGUGAGGAAGAACGCCUGGUGGUUAAUACCCAUCAGGAAAGACAUCACUCACAGAAGAAGCACCGGCUAACUCCGUGCCAGCAGCCGCGGUAAUACGGAGGGUGCGAGCGUUAAUCGGAAUUACUGGGCGUAAAGCGCGCGUAGGUGGCUUGAUAAGCCGGUUGUGAAAGCCCCGGGCUCAACCUGGGAACGGCAUCCGGAACUGUCAAGCUAGAGUGCAGGAGAGGAAAGUAGAAUUCCCGGUGUAGCGGUGAAAUGCGUAGAGAUCGGGAGGAAUACCAGUGGCGAAGGCGGCCUUCUGGACUGACACUGACACUGAGGUGCGAAAGCGUGGGUAGCAAACAGGAUUAGAUACCCUUGUAGUC
rnacentral:rRNA from 1 species